rnacentral:rRNA from 1 species
GCAGUAGGGAAUAUUGGGCAAUGGGCGAGAGCCUGACCCAGCCAUGCCGCGUGCAGGAAGAAGGCUUUCUGAGUCGUAAACUGCUUUUGACAGGGAAGAAUAAGCACUACGUGUAGUGCGAUGACGGUACCUGCAGAAUAAGCACCGGCUAACUCCGUGCCAGCAGCCGCGGUAAUACGGAGGGUGCGAGCGUUGUCCGGAUUUAUUGGGUUUAAAGGGUGCGUAGGCGGCUUUUUAAGUCUGGGGUGAAAGCCCGCUGCUCAACAGCGGAACUGCCCUGGAUACUGGAGAGCUUGAGUACAGACGAGGUUGGCGGAAUGGACGGAGUAGCGGUGAAAUGCAUAGAUACCGUCCAGAACCCCGAUUGCGAAGGCAGCUGACUAGGCUGUUACUGACGCUGAGGCACGAAAGCGUGGGGAGCGAACAGGAUUAGA